rnacentral:rRNA from 1 species
AUUGAACGCUGGCGGCAGGCUUAACACAUGCAAGUCGAGCGGGGGAAGGUAGCUUGCUACCGGACCUAGCGGCGGACGGGUGAGUAAUGCUUAGGAAUCUGCCUAUUAGUGGGGGACAACAUCUCGAAAGGGAUGCUAAUACCGCAUACGUCCUACGGGAGAGAGCAGGGGAUAUUCCGACCUUGCGCUAAUAGAUGACCCAAGGUCGGAUUAGGUAGUUGGUGGGGUAAAGGCCUACCAAGGCGACGAUCUGUAGCGGGUCUGAGAGGAUGAUCCGCCACACUGGGAGUGAGACACGGCCCAGACUCCUACGGGAGGCAGCAGUGGGGAAUAUUGGACAAUGGGGGGAACCCUGAUCCAGCCAUGCCGCGUGUGUGAAGAAGGCCUUAUGGUUGUAAAGCACUUUAAGCGAGGAGGAGGCUACUCUAGUUAAUACCUAGGGAUAGUGGACGUUACUCGCAGAAUAAGCACCGGCUAACUCUGUGCCAGCAGCCGCGGUAAGAC